rnacentral:rRNA from 1 species
UACCCGCAGCUCAAGUGGUGGUCAUUAUUAUUGGGCCUAAAGCGUCCGUAGCUGGCUUGUUAGAUGCCUGGGUAAAUCGAUGCGCUUAACGCAUCGAAUUCCGGGUAGACCGGCAAGCUCGAGACCGGGAGAGGCGUGAGCUACUCGAGGGGGUAGGGGGUAAAAAUCCUGUAAUCCUUCGGGGGAGACCAGUGGCGAAGGCGCACGCUAGAACGGCUCUGACAGUGAGGGACGAAGCCCUGGGGC